UACUUUGUGCUGUUCUCAUUGUGAACUGCGGAGGGCGCAAAUGUAAUGUCAAAACCUGCAGAAUGAAGCUCCAAUGCACCACAUGUGUGUGUCAGAAUGUGAUAUAAGAACUGAAGGAGACAGAGAGAGUCCAUAGUGAGCUGUAUUGUCAUCUGUUGUCACCACAGUUCAACCAUGGAAUAUUGCUUCAGAGUAUUCAUAGCUGCUUAUUUCAGUGUGUGCUCUGUAAAGGGGGACUUUGUUACUCAACCUAAAGAUGAGAUGGGUCUGAAGGGCAGAAUGGUGACACUCAGCUGUCAGUAUGAUACCAGUACCCCAGCAGCUGGCCAGUAUCUCUUCUGGUACCAGCAGAAACCAAACAGAUUCCCAAAAUAUAUUCUACUGAAAACGUCUCUUAGACAAGAGAAUGACCCAGAUUUUAAGGGGAGAUUCAACGCUACACUCAACACAGAAACAAAAACUGUUAAUCUGACAAUCCAGGAUCUGCAAGUGUCUGACUCUGCUGUGUACUACUGUGCUCUGAGGCCCACAGUGACAGCUGCAACUCAGAACUUAUACAAAAACCCCUGGCUCUUUGUGAAAAUGUUGUUAAUUUGCACAGUAGUGAAAUAGUACUCAUGUUCAUGAAACCAAUGGCAGUAAAUAUUUGUGUUUGAACGUUGUUACAUAAUAUUUUUGUUUGGAUGUACGUAUGGUUCAGAUAAAUACUUGACGUCAAGAGUCCAGGGCCCAGUUACCUGAAAGCAUCGUAAGCCUAAGAGCGUCGUAAAGUCCAUCUUACGAACGUCUUCAGAUUUGCCACCUGUUUCCCAAAACCAUCGUAGCUUAAGAGCGUUGUGAAAAACCUUGUAGAUCUACGGGUGCUCCAGAGUGUUAUUGGCUAAGAGCGUCUUAACAGGUACUUCUCAAUGAGGUCACCAAGAGGGCAUACAGGGACAUUGCAACUUAGAAUACAAUUAUCCAACUAUGUUCCCAUUCUUUAUUGUAUUUACUUGUGAUGAAUCAGCUUUAAGUGUGCAAAAUAGGAUUUAAUGGUCAUAAUAAUGUGAUUAAAAGCGGACGAAAAUUCAAUGAAGGUAUGAAACCAGACGUUGCCAAAAUAGUUUGCCAUUAUCUUUGUGUAAGUGUAGGUUAUCUUUUAUUAUCUUCAAUGUGUGCA